UUCGAGCCUAGGACACUGUUUUGGCCGGUUAGCAGACAGAAAAAAGAAAUCGGAGGUGAGAAAAAUCCCAGAAACAGAGAAAAGUAGAGAUGGGGGGGAGGGGUUCUCGGUCAAGAUUUCUAGAGACAUUGAAGACAAGCAAAAAAGCCCAAAAUAAGCAUCCUUGGAAAGACGAAAUAAUAGCUGGCAGGAGAGGAAAAUGAGAAUCGCAAUUGGAUAGCCUUUGAAUCCAUGAAUCGAGAGGCCAAAGUUAGGGGGAAAGGGAGCUGAGGAGUGGGAUCCUAGUGGGGAGGAUUCAUUUGGGAGCACCA
rnacentral:lncRNA from 1 species